rnacentral:hammerhead_ribozyme from 1 species
GACGAGUCCCAAACAGGACGAAACGCGCGUCCUGGAU